rnacentral:rRNA from 1 species
GGGUGCGAUCAUACCAGCACUAAUGCAGCGUAUCCCAUCAGAACUCCCAAGUCAAGCGUGCUUGGGCGAGAGUAGUACUAGGAUGGGUGACCUCCUGGGAAGUGCUCGUGUUGCACCCC